GAUGAACGCUAGCGGGAGGCUUAACACAUGCAAGUCGAGGGGCAGCAUAGGGUAGCAAUACUCUGAUGGCGACCGGCAAACGGGUGAGUAACGCGUAUGCAACCUACCCUGUACAGGGGGAUAACCCGGAGAAAUUCGGACUAAUAUCCCGUAAUAAUAUCCGGAGGCAUCUUUGGAUAUUUAAAGUUCCGACGGUACGGGAUGGGCAUGCGUAACAUUAACUGGUUGGUAAGGUAACGGCUUACCAAGGCUAUGAUGUUUAGGGGUCCUGAGAGGGUGGUCCCCACACUGGUACUGAGACACGGACCAGACUCCUACGGGAGGCAGCAGUGAGGAAUAUUGGUCAAUGGGCGCAAGCCUGAACCAGCCAUCCCGCGUGCAGGAGACGGCCCUAUGGGUUGUAAACUGCUUUUCCAGGGAGAGAAACUUACGCACGUGUUGCGUGACUGACGGUACCCUGGGAAUAAGCAUCGGCUAACUCCGUGCCAGCAGCCGCGGUAAAACGUGCGUG
rnacentral:rRNA from 1 species